UUUCCGUAGGUGAACCUGCGGAAGGAUCAUUAACGAAUAAGGGUCAUUCUGGCCCCACCUCCAACCCUUUGUCUACUUACUAUGUUGCUUUGUCGGGCCCGUUUUAUGAUCGCCGGCAUUACUCGGAACUUUCGCCCGUGCUCACCAACAGCCUUCUACAAGUUAUUGAUCAAUUGUGAUCUCUGUAUAAUUAAUAUAAUAGUUAAAACUUUCAACAACGGCUCUCAUGGUUCUAGCAUCUAUGAAGAACGCAGCAGAUCAGAAGAGCACAGGUCUGAA
rnacentral:misc_RNA from 1 species